UGGUUUUGGGGAGACACAUAUGGGUGUCUACAACCACAAUCUAGGCUCCAAGAGUUAUGAGAGGGCUCGAGUUGAUUGGAGUAAGACCAAUAGAAUUCCAGCAGAAUCUUCAACCUCAAGCACCACAGAGUCCACGACAAGCUGUGUAAUGAGUGAAAAGCUUAAAAAUCGGUCUCUUUAUUGGAUUUUGGCCCGUCAAAAUCGUAAUGCAGAUGGAUCGUGGGCUAUAGACCCGAAGAAUGCCGAAACCCAGCAAAUAGCCAAUGCUAUUUUGGAAAACUUGCAAAAGAAUGAUGAAGGAAACAAUUCAAGUGAUGGUAUUGGUAUGGAUGCCCUCGACAAGGCUUUAGGAAAAAAGGAUCACCGCGGGCAUGUAAAAGCACUAGGAAGGUAUGAGGUUGGAGUUAGACACACACAAGUAUUUGGGAAGGGAUGCAAAAAGGGUAAAUCAUCCGGCCAAGGUGGAUGCUCAUUAGAAGACUUAGAAUCAAUGAAAGCUACCGUAACUCAAGAAUUUGAGGCGAGGCUAGAAGAAAAGGUUGAAGAGAAGCUUCAAGAGAGGAUUGAAGAGAGGAUCGAAGAGAGGUUGGAACAACGGGUGGCAAUGGAGGUGAAAGCUUAUCUCGCCAAUUUACUACCACAGAUAACCGGUGACGUGGAGGCAUUUCAAGGAAUGCAAGUGAUGACGAACAUGGAGGCAACACAAAGCCCUCGUGUAAUAGAGGUAGCCACUAAAUGUCGCCUAGCAUUGAAAGAUGAGUACAAUCAAAAUUUAGUGGUUGUGGCAGAUGGAACGGUAUACCCUGUUACCGGUGAAGUUACUCACAACUUGAAGAUGUUACCUGAUCAUUACAGGGUUAGUGUGGACAACCCUUAUCCCGAUCGUGCCCUCCUCGAUAUACCGGUACCGUCUCCCGAUGGUGUGACUAAGUUGGGAAAAGCCAAGUCUUCCUUUGUACUAUGGCCUAUAAACAUGGUUUUUUUUGAAGAAGAGGUUUCACCAUCGCCCAAAAAGAAGCAUAGAUCUCGCCAAAGCAAAGAAGGGGACGAUAGUUGUGGUGUGAAAUCAAGGCAAUCUACCAUCAAACAAAAUUCCUACCACUUGAAGAUAAAACUGUCGAUACUUUUGGCAAGGGAUCGACAAACAGAUUUGGGUAACCGCUACCGAUGUACGUGAAUUUCUAAGAGGAUCGUGGGCUAAUGUUUCAUUGAUUCAUGUUUAUAUCAUGUAUUUAGUAGACAACUUCAUCGACCUUUUCAACAGGACUGAGAUCACGUUCUUUUGUCCUCAACUCAUUUCUGAAUCUUCAAUUGAGAAUGAUUACCUUGAAA